UCUGGGGAGGGGGGGUCCCUCAGCCUGGAUUCCGAGAGGGCGCAGGCCAGGCCUAGGGACCCCAGCGGUGCACG
rnacentral:pre_miRNA from 1 species